AAAGAUUGAACAAUUUAUAGGCAAACAGGAAAAAUUAUUCUUAAGUUCCAUCCAGUAGUUAGGCACCAACACAAUAUCACAUUCUUCCGUCUUUUGGUUACUGAUUUCGUGAGACAUCCUUCUAGGCAUGUCAGAAGAUACAUAGGGGAGAGAGAUGAGCGCAUGUAGAAUGCAAUAUGUGUAUACUGCAAAUAGAUACAACCUUAACAUGAAUAUCACGUAUGGACCUUCUUUGAGUGUGAACAGGACGAGAAGAAAGAUGGCAGGUUAGCAGAGUGAACAAACUCAAAAUUGUAAGCUGACAUACCUUGUUCAUCAUUAAGCAUCAAAUUCCCAGAAAGUAAAUCAUUGUGAGCAAACACCACUGGAGCAUUGAGAAGGCCCGUCAAUUCCUGGUCCAUCAUCAAGCGACACUCUCAUAAACAGGGAUAGACUUCUUGAUGUUGAAUCAAAACAUAUAAUCAAAGAUACAUAGCACCUUCUAUUCAUCAGCACCAGAUGAAUCAACCAACCAUAAAAAGAAAUCUUACUUUCAGCUGUGUUGCUUCCUUAUGCACUUCCUCGAAUGAAAUUGUCUCGUAUAUCUUCUGCUUAUCAGUAUCUUCAAACUGGAGAGAAGAUGCUGCAAAAGAAGGCCUCGUGCGUUAGAUAUACAUCGAAUACUGCUAGGUAAUAAUCUUAAGA